CUUUCAUUUCUGGCUUGAGGGAGUUUGAGAGAAGAGGUGAGAAGAUGAAGGAAGAGAGAAGACGAAGGCGGAGAAAGAGUUCACGGGUUUUCUCCUCCGGCGACGGAAGCGGCAUUUUAGUUCCGGCGAAGAGCUAAUGAGGAGCUUCUCGUCUGCUCCAACUCCUACCUUCGAUUGUUACAUCGGUUUAGGUCAUGAAAGUGUUCCAAGCAAACAACCUGAUCACAUGCACUUGAAAUUAUUUGCAUAGAUGAAGGGUUCAAUAUUACUGCAGCGUUGACAACUAAGCCAUAAGAUGUUGCCAACUCAGUAUCUGAUUGCAUAAACUUGAAAACUGACUAUUGAAGUUGGUCUUUUGAUGAAGGUUGAAUAUUCUUGCCAUUGAAAACCAUUUGAGACUCAUUAUGGGUUUUGCUCCUGCGACUGAAAAAACCCAACACCAACUGGUGAUUCCAUAUACCCACAUAUUUGUCUCAGGUUCAGCAUUCCAACGCCCUGUGUCUUCAUCACUUGCAAAAAUCGUCCUGCCAUCAUCUUCAUAAAUAGUAAUCAUAACCUUUACUUCCACUUGAGGAAUAAGACUUGAACAUGCCACUUAAAGAGAAGGAAGAUGAUUUGUUACCUCCCAUCAUAACUGUUUUUUGGAUUAUGAUUUCUAUUGUAACUUUCAAUACUCACAAAUUGUUCCUUCACCUCUAAGGAUUCCAACAUUCUUC